rnacentral:lncRNA from 1 species
GGAUUCACCUUUAGCAGCUAUGCCAUGAGCUGGGUCCGCCAGGCUCCAGGGAAGGGGCUGGAGUGGGUCUCAGCUAUUAGUGGUAGUGGUGGUAGCACAUACUACGCAGACUCCGUGAAGGGCCGGUUCACCAUCUCCAGAGACAAUUCCAAGAACACGCUGUAUCUGCAAAUGAACAGCCUGAGAGCCGAGGACACGGCCGUAUAUUACUGUGCGAGGUUCGACCCCUGGGGCCAGGGAACCCUGGUCACCGUCUCCUCA